rnacentral:rRNA from 1 species
GACGUGGGGGGGCGAGCGUUGUCCGGAAUUACUGGGCGUCAAGCGCGCGUAGGCGGGCUGGCAGGCGGCGUGUGGAAGGCGGGGGGCUCAACCCCCCGAUGGGGCGCGCCGAACCGCUGGUCUUUGGGGACGGCGAGGGGGCAGGUGGAAUGGUCGGAGGAGCGGUGAAAAUGCGUAGAGCCCCGAUCGGAACACCGGUGGCGAAGGCGGCCUGCUGGAGCCGGGGCCGACGCUGAGGCGCGAGAGCGCGGGGGGAGCGAACAGG